ACGGAGGGGGCAAGCGUUGUUCGGAAUUACUGGGCGUAAAGCGCACGUAGGCGGCUAACCAAGUUGGGGGUGAAAGCCCAGGGCUUAACCCUGGAACUGCCUUCAAGACUGGUUGGCUAGAGGCCGACAGAGGUAAGGGGAAUUCCUAGUGUAGAGGUGAAAUGCGUAGAUAUCAGGAAGAACAUCCGUGGCGAAGGCGACUGACUGGGUCGGAACUGACGCUGAGGCGCGAAAGCGUGGGGAUCAAACAG
rnacentral:rRNA from 1 species